CAAUAAAAAAGGGCUAUAACUGAGAUCCAUGAAUUGCUAAACAUCAUUUGAAUUAUGCAUGCAAAGUUUAUGGGACAGCCUAUCAACUGAUCAUCUCCUUUUUGUCAUUUGAUGCAUAUUAAUUUUAUGCUCUACUGCUUCAGCUGCUAUUUCAUUAGAAUGUUUACUGCUGUUUAAGGUAUAUUACUUCACAACAGAAAUAAAAGUUGUUGUUACAUGCACAUAUUCUUUUCCCCUUCAGCAUUGUAACCUGUGUAAAAUUUAUUUCCUUCAAAAUUAAAUACAAGAAGAUAAUGACUACAGUGUUGUAACUUUUGUGAUUAUGCGGUGUCCCUGUGCCUUCACACAACAUAAGAGUGGUCAACGUUAGCAGUAUCGUUUGGAUUGGGAGUGUACUUUUGAAGUGAAUUCUCCAGUCGCUCCCAUUUACCAUGCCUUGGCUCACACCGUGGACUGGUCUUGAAGAGCAGGAGCUGGAUUCCCUUCAGAUGAAACUAAGCCAGGAGCCUGAUGGAUGGAAGCUGACGCUUCCAACUAACAAACCUACACAUCCACAGGGAAAUGCAAUUACAAAGUCUGCAUAAAGAGAUGACAUCUACAUUUGCAUGCCUGCCAUAAGAAAUUAAAAGAGAGAACUAUCGGCUACAGAAAAUACAUAAAUAAGCCCUGACCACAUGCUGCUGCACUGUGACGAGAAGGUCUGGCCCCUCGCAGGAGUAGAGCUGCGGCACAUCCCACGCGCCGCUUUUAAUUGCUGAGGACGUGCCCGGUCCUGUCCACUCACUCUCUUUAAGGCGAUGCUUUGAAAACCGAGCGGGUGAAAGAGUCAAUGGGACGCUGCUAAAAUAUCGGAACGCAGGGCGAGAAGUGGGAGGAUUUGCAAUAUCAACUUUUGACUGUACUUGAAGGCUCUGGAACAAUUGGACUGAGGUAUUGGGAACAACUAUUGUAUCAGCUAAUAUUAUAAGGAAGAGAAAACCUUGACUUACUGAUGCACU